rnacentral:rRNA from 1 species
UAGGGAAUAUUGCAAAAUGGGCGCAAGCCCGAUGCAGCAACGCCGCGUGGGCGAUGAAGGCCUUCGGGUUGUAAAGCCCUUUUUGAGGGGAUGAGGAAGGACAGUACCCUCAGAAUAAGCCUCGGCUAACUACGUGCCAGCAGCCGCGGUAAAACGUAGGAGGCGAGCGUUAUCCGGAUUUACUGGGCGUAAGGCGCGUGCAGGCGGAUUGGAGAGUUGGAUGUGAAAGCUCCCGGCUUAACUGGGAGAGGUCGUUCAAUACUUCCAGUCUUGAGUGCAGUAGAGGGAAGUGGAAUUCCGGGUGUAGUGGUGAAAUGCGUAGAUAUCCGGAGGAACACCAGUGGCGAAAGCGGCUUCCUGGACUGUAACUGACGCUCAGACGCGAAAGCUAGGGUAGCAAACGG